GGUUUGAUGGUUGAUGGGGUCGGGCAUCAUUCUGAGUUUGGGUGUCACGGCACGGGUCAGACUCGGUUCGGUUCGAGUUCAGUCGACACCGGGUUAACAUGGUCGUCUCUAUUCCGAUUCAUUACAACCCAGUUUCAGUUUGGGUUCGGGUCCAGUCAAAGUAGCCAACCGACUCAGUUUCAUUUUCGGUUCAGAUUCGGUGUCGGGUCAACAUCAGUCAAACAGUCAACACGGGUGGGUCGUGGUGGCGGUGGUGAUGGCGGCGACAGGUGGGUCGUGGUGGCGGUGAUGGCGGCGACAGGUGGGUCGUGGUGGCGGUGGUGGCGGCAGGUAGGUUGUGGUGGUGGUAGGAUUGUUAGAUCUCAAUAAACCACUUUGUUGCCCUAAUUUUGGUGAGUUGUAAGAAAUUGGGGGUUUUUUUGUUCAUGGGUUAUUGAUGAUAAUGUUGAUGAUAAUCUGGGUUUUGAAGUUUUGA